GAUAAGUUCUGCUCAGUGGUGGUAAACAGCCGCGGUAAUUUGACCGUGCAAAGGUAGCAUAAUCAUUUUGCCUUGUAAUUGAGGGCUGGAAUGAAUGGAUUAACAAAGUUUUUUCUUUAUUAUCUAAAAAAUUGGAAAUUGCUUUUUAAGUGAAGAAGCUUAAAUUUAGUAGUGGGACAAGAAGACCCUUUUGAGUUUGAUUAUUUAGUGAUUUAUUUUUUCUUUCUAAUUUGGUUGGGGCGAUCGAGGAAAUGAAGAGCUUCCUUUAUAACUUUGAUCCAAUUUUUUUGAUUGAAGGAUCUAAUUACCAAAGGGAUAACAGCGUAAUUUUUUUUGAGAGUUCUUAUUAAAAAAAAAGAUUGCGACCUCGAUGUUGACUUAUAAUUACCUGAAGGUGUAGGAGCUUUUUGGGUAGGUCUGUUCGACCUUUAAAAUUUUACGUGAGUUGAGUUCAGACCGGUGUGA
rnacentral:rRNA from 1 species